rnacentral:rRNA from 1 species
UACGUAGGGUGCAAGCGUUGUCCGGAAUUAUUGGGCGUAAAGAGCUCGUAGGCGGUCUGUCGCGUCGGCUGUGAAAGCCCGGAGCUCAACUCCGGGCCUGCAGUCGAUACGGGCAGACUGGAGUUCGGCAGGGGAGACUGGAAUUCCUGGUGUAGCGGUGAAAUGCGCAGAUAUCAGGAGGAACACCGGUGGCGAAGGCGGGUCUCUGGGCCGAUAUUGACGCUGAGGAGCGAAAGCGUGGGGAGCGAACAGG